rnacentral:misc_RNA from 1 species
CGCACAUUGCGCCCUGUGGUAUUCCGCGGGGCAUGCCUGUUCGAGCGUCAUUAUACCAAUCAAGCCUAGCUUGGUAUUGGAGUCCGCCGUCUGGCGGCUCUCAAAUGCAACGGCAGCCUAAGCAAAACCCUAAGUGUAGUAAAAUCUCUCGCUUUUGGGCACUGUGGCGACUCGCCGAACCCCACUUCUAAAGGUUGACCUCGGAUCAGGUAGGGAUACCCGCUGAACUUAA